CGCGUAGGCGGGAUCGUGGGUCGGCCGUGAAAUCCACCGGCUCAACCGGUGAACUGCGGUCGAAACUACGGUUCUUGAGCUCGGUAGAGGAAGGCGGAAUUCCUGGUGUAGCGGUGGAAUGCGUAGAUAUCAGGAAGAACACCGGUAGCGAAGGCGGCCUUCUGGGCCGUAGCUGACGCUGAGGCGCGAAAGCCGGGGGAGCGAACA
rnacentral:rRNA from 1 species